UUCAUGAUAUGCACUGGUGCUCUCCACUGCUCUCCACCUGAUCAGCCCAAACAACGAGCUUGGAGGAGGAGCUGCUCUGCCACAGGACAGUGGCAACCCCAAAGAUGGAGAAGGUAAAACUCAGAGGACCAUCAUUUCUCAUCCAUGGAGCCCAUCUGCACAAGCCAAAAUAAACCAAAUUUCCCCCAAAUGCCAGGCCAGUGCACUAACCACAAGCUCGCUGGCAUCCUUCACUUGCCACAGCCCUGCCUGCCUCUUCUUCAGGGGAAGGAUGCUGUGUUGGGAAAGAAAUCCCCAAGGAAGUUCUUUGCCUGGAUGGUUGGUUGAACCUCCCCAGCGUGGCAGAGAUGCCCCAGCUACAAGGCACCAUCUCAGCACACAAAGGAAACAACAAUCUGGACUGGAGGAAGUCACUGAAAACCUGAGUGAACCUCAAGUGCAUCAGGAAAUGGGUCUGAUGCUUUGGCUCAGUCUGGCCUGGAAACCUGCUCCUGGUGUGUCAUGACCACAGGCUUGACAGGUGGAAGCAAAAUGAGCAGUUCAAGUGACAAGAGCAAGAUCACCUUGCAGACCCUGACCCACCUGUCUGUGAAGAGGUCGGGGUGUUGGAUCAGGGCCUUGAGAACAGCAGUCUUAGGGAUCAGGUUGUCAGCACAUGGAUGCAAGAUCCUGGGAACAGGAUGUCAGAUUUAACUGAAUUGAAUUCCAGAGUCUCCGUGGAAGCAAGUGACCUUUCCUGCUCAGGGCACAGAGAGGUGCUGUGAGUGACACAGAAGCCGAGGAAGGUUUAGGAAGGAGCAUUUAUUGAAGCUGCAAGGGGCAGCCUGAUACUGCAAAGGAUGUUUAUUUUCCCAGAUCAAGUUGAAAGCUCACAGCAACUUCCCGCAGUUUAUGGAAUUAAAUACUUGGACCGGGCUCAGAAACACCAGACUGAGAAGAAACAUUCAGCAAAGGUCAGCCACAACUAUUUACAAGGGGCGUACACGUGACACAGUAAAACUUGCACUGAAAUAAACCCCCCAGCCCCUCUCCCACAAGGUCCCAUUUUGAUGCUGAACUGCUUUGAAAUUGUUCUGCCGAAAACUUUUGCUUGUGCUCCAGCAAAAAGUUUCCCUCACGCUGAAACUGCAUUUCCCAUUGGAAACCUCUUUGGUUCAAGUAUUUCCUCGUCUCUGCUGAUGCUUCCUGGGUUCGUGCCCUGCUCCAGGAUUGUUCUCUCUGUGACCAGCAUGUGACAGGGCUUAAAUAAGGAGUGAUUUGUGACGUGCCUUGAUACCCUCUGAUAAAAGAUGCCCAGAGCACUGUGUGUUACAGUACCGUGAUUUCUCUCCCCACUUCUUCAGAAUGCGUUAAAUGUGUGGGUGCUCCAGUUAUUUCCUCUAACAGUUGAUAUUUUAACCUGCUGUAUUUUUAUCUUGGCUGCAUUAUAUAACAAGUUAUGCUGGUGUCAAUCUGGAAGCUCCAGCACCGUCAGUAAAGCUAAUCCAGUUUAACACAAGCCUUAG